rnacentral:lncRNA from 1 species
UCCGGGCCCUCACAGUGCCUUUGAAGCCCAAGUCUAUAAGACAUGGGCCCCAGGAGGACACACGGCUGUUAGAGGGACUGAUCACUAUCUCACUUUUGGAAACUGAGGCCCCAAAACAUGUCUGACCUGGUGGCAUGCUCUUCCCUGUUUGUCUCCACGCUGUCUUACAUGCUGUCCUCUUAUUCUCUGGGUCCUCUUAGGCCCUGUCCCCUGGCUCCUUGCUUUGGCACUUGCCCUUUCCUCCUUAUUCUGCUAAACUUCUCUUCUUUUAAGACUCAGUGCAGUCGUUUCUCUUCUGCGAAGUCUGCUUGAGUUUGUCUCUUCAAGAGGGAGUGGACUGUCUCUUCCUGGUAUGGCAACAGACAGCCCCUCUGCAGAGCUUUGUGACAGUUAACAGUCUUACUGUGACCUAACAGUGUGCCAACUGUCUUUCCCUAUCGACCUGUGAGCUGGUGGUGACCUCUGCUCUCCUCAUGAACUCCACUCAUCCCAGGCAGAGCUUGGCAUGGUUUAGGCACACGCCAGUGCUCAUCACAGAUGUGAAUGAGGGCAUUCGAAAUGUUUACCCUCUCCCUGUGCACAAGGAUUACUACAAGAUGGAGAAAGACAGCACAUGGCACAAGUCUGCAGCCCAACUCAAUACCGCAAAGGGGACAGUUCACUGGGCCCAACAGCCCAGGAGACUUGGGCAUUGUCUUGGUUUCUUGGCCCUGCCACAAUCAACAGCCACAAACUGGGGGCUUUGCACAGCAGGAAUUCAGUGACUUCCAGUUCUGGACGUAGAACCCCCUGCUCUAGGCCUCUCACCCAGCUUCCAGAGUUUUUGGCUUUGAGCUGUGAAACUUCAAUCUUCACAUGUCCUCUACCUGAAUUCGUGUCUCCCUGACCCAGAUGUCCCCCGCAUAAGGACACUGAUGCUACUGGAUUAAGACCCACUCUAAUGACCUCCUUUGAAUUUGCUUCCCUCCAGAAUACCACAUUCUGAAAUACUGGGGAUAAGAACACCAACAUCGUGUUUUCAGGGACAUAACUCAAUCUGUAACAGGCACAUUGUCUUUAGACCCUCAUUCAGCAGGAGAGGCUCUGAGAAGGAUGGACACUCUCCCAUUUUAUAGCAAAGACGCCGAAUCCAAAGAAGAGCAGGGAAGAGGAAGAAAGCAGAAAUCUCAGGUCUCUGGACUGGAUUUUCUGGACAGGGAGACGCCUCGAUGGCUUCUCCACACCUGCCCCGAUCCCCGGGAGACUGGGCUGAAUUCAGACUUCCCCACUCCACUGCACUCCUCGUGAACCUGGUGCUCAGAAGAUGGGAUUUAAAUGCUUGUUGCUCCAGGGCACGAGGUAACUUUGUGCUCGCUUAAGCCUGAGAACAUUUCUCCCAGUGCAUGCUGGAUCAAUACUUAGGAUCUAUAGGGCCAGCCGCAGCACAGGUUCGAAAUCAAGAUAGAACUGGAAUGACCAGAGGCAGCUGAGAUUCCCUGGCAUCAGGCAUCACAAUGGCUCUCAGCACCUGCUUACAUGAGAAGCCUCGUUCAGCCCUGUAGUAGAGGUCCUGCGAUUCUCCACAGCCACAUUUUCCUGAUGGUUUGAGAAGCACAACUGUGGCCAUGGCUGUGAGUGCAGGUUUGAAAUGAAGUCGAAAGAGUGGGAUCCUUUUAGGCCUGGACCCUCUUGCACAGCUUUGGGAGCCUCCAGAGCAAGAGAGGUUGUAGAAGUGUAUCACAGGAGAUUCUUUCUCCAGUCCUAGGCUUUUACUCUGUAAAUUGCUCUCUGUGUUCAUAAUAGCACCUAUAAAAUAGGUGUAAAAUGAUUUAUUGCAUCUGGGGAAUCCGAAUGAACCAUCCUUCAAAAGGCAGGUACAGCCCUCACUCAUGCUCAGUGCUGUCUGUGGAGGGAAGCAGGGGAAUGGCUGUUUGGGAACAGAUAAAAUGGGACAAGGAUAGCCUAACUUGAGUCCCCAGGAUCUUGGGAGUUUUAUGGACUCCUCUGUCUGGCGCUC